GAGUAAGUUAGCUCAGUGGUUAGAGCUUAGGUCUUGUAACCGGAUGGUCCCGGGAUCGAAUCCCGCCAGAGGCA
rnacentral:tRNA from 1 species